rnacentral:rRNA from 1 species
AGUGAACGCUGGCGGUAGGCCUAACACAUGCAAGUCGAACGGCAGCACAGUAAGAGCUUGCGCUUACGGGUGGCGAGUGGCGGACGGGUGAGGAGUAUAUCGGAAUCUACUUUUUCGUGUGAGUUCAGGUAGGGAAACUUACGCUAAUACCGCAUACGACCUACGGUUGUAAGCAGGGGAUCUUCGCACCUUGCGCGAUUGAAUGAGCCGAUGUCGGAGUAGCUGGUGGGGGGGGUAAAGGCCCACCAAGGCGACGAUCCGUAGCUGGUGUGAGAGGAUGAUCGGCGACCUGGGAGCUGGGACAGGGACCAGGCUACUACGGGAGGCAGCAGUGGGGAAUAGUAGACAAUGGGGGGAAGUCUGACACAGCGAGAGCGCGUGGGUGAAGAAGGCGUUGGGGUCGUAAAGCCGGUUUGUGGGGAGAGAAAAGCAGCAGGCUAAUACGCAGCUGUAGUGACGGUACCGAGUGAAUAAGCACCGGCUAACUUCGUG